ACAUAGUUCUCUUAAUUUUAAAAGUCUGACAUUUUUUCUAAAUAUAUCUUUGCAUUUGUAGUUUCAAUUAUCAGACAUAUUUCAAAGCAUAUCGCCCAUACGUAAUCUGAGUUUUCACUUUAGCAAAUUGGUCAAGGUGCUCGAUUUGGUUGUGACGACAACUCCUGGCCGUUUGACAAUGUCUAAUGUCGAUCGACAUGCAAUUCACAUUACGGCUGGCCGUUUGGUGCCCGAGCGUAGCGCAAUAUUGCGAUAUAAAUUAAUGCUUAAUCAGCAGAAAUUGUCUAAAUCCGCAAAUUAUUCGCAAGUGGCAGGCGUUUAAUUGUAACUGCCCCAAGUGCAGCCCACAGCCAUACACACACACACACACACAUACAGAAAAGCCAACCGCAUUUUGGUGGCCAGCACAAAGCCAAUGUAAUGUCCAAGUUUGACCAUAACAAUAGUCCGCCCGUCAUAACAACCCAUGAAGCCAUAAAAAUCUUAAGAGCGCAGCGCCAGGGGCGUGCUAAUUGAAAUUCUUGUUGCACCUUUAUUGAUUGUGUUGACCUUCUGCGAAUUGGACACUUACCAUUAUCAGGUCGCCCGUUUCCAUGUGGCGACGCAUCAAAAUCGCUGCCAUAUUUUGCUCAUCUUGGAAAACCUCGCCAAUUUCAUGCUUGUCAUGCUGCAAGAGAACAAAGGAAGAGAGUUAGUUUAUCGAUAAAAUUGUAAUUGACAGCGAGUUAAACGACGCGGGAUAUUAGCUUAAUUUGAUUUGCUAACCACCGACAUUCAAUUAACAACGAAAUCAAUUUUUACGGUCGCAUUCCGAACAUUCCAAAUAUCAACGGCAAGCUCAAGAGUAGCCAAGCCGCGGCUUUGGCCGAACUAAAUGUAAAGCAAUUUUUUAUAAAACAUAAAAAAAUGCUGGUCUGUUAUUCUGUUUGCUGGCCAGGCAGCUGUAUAAUAAUUAAAUGCGCCAGCAGCAAAAGAAGGAGACAACCGGCAGCCGAUAGAGACAGAGUCAGAGACAUGGACAGAGAUUAAGAGCCACUCUUGGAGAGGGAGAGAUGAAGCCAGAGCUCGGCGUGCUCGGAGUGCUGUUAACUGCGUGGGAUAUGCGGCAGCGGGGUUUUGAUUUAUGCACUCGGUCAGCAAAUGUGACGCCUCAACAUGCACGUCACUCAUGCGCCGUGUGUGCCGUGCUGUUCUCUGAGCCUGACCAUGAAAACUGCGCCGCCGUGGCUUCAGCUAAAGCUUAAGCUUUUGACAUUUGGCCAACUGGCUGCUGAUCUGGUUUCAGUUGCGCUCUGUUCUUGUUGCAAUCCUUUGACAUCGACAUUCGGAUAGUUUUUUGCAACUUUUCGACUCAAGGCAACUUGGCUUAGAUGCUGGUUGCCAAAUUUCUGUGCAAGGCCCAGGGGGAAUGUGUUUCAUUGGAAUUAGCAUGAUCUUUAAGCUUUCAGCUGGCAAAAUUUGUUCACUGGGAGCUGAGAAAUCAAAUGUGCGACUAAUUAAAUUAAUUGCCGCUGCGCCUGCCCAUUAAUUCUGUAAUAAAUAUUGAAAUAAAUGUAAUCUGACACUUGA